ACCACAGGAUUACUUACAAGUUGAAUUUUGUGGCAGAACGUAUAAACUCAUAUUAAAAGAAGCUAGAAAGAAAAGCAGCAAGCCUGUUACUCUCUGGCCCCGGAAGUGUUUAUUUUGAAUAUGUCUGUCUUGGGAUUGUGUUCUGUUUCUCCUAACAUAAAGAUACACUGGCGAGAAGAGGGACUAGGCAGCAAGGGUGGAAAGGAAGAAACCUAAAAGCAAUCAAAGCUGCUUCUUCCCUCUACCAAUGAAGAAAGAGGAGUUAGAUGGAUUUUUAUUCUCUUUGGGAUGCACAUGCAACAAUCAUAUUUUUCAGCACACGUUUAUUUUUGGCUGCAAAAGUAGGUUCUGUAUUCAAGCCCAUCGUAUGUCUCCUGAGAAGAAAGAAAAACUUCCCCAAAGUUCAUGACUGAAACCAUCUUCACAUCCUAACCAUAUUGCUCUGGAAGGCCAGGGUUUCCAAAGAAAGGCCAAAGACCAACAGCUGUAUUUCCUUGGUUUCUUCAUUUUUGUUUAAUGUUUGAUAAAGUUAGGGUAGAAUGCUAUUUACCUUUGAAAGUUCAACUUAUCCAUGAACAUUCGGUUCAUAUAUCUAAGAAUAAAACUGAAGGGGUUUUCAACCCCAUAAGAAAAACAAUACCAACUAACCAGACUCCCAGUGUCUAAACCACCAACCAAGGAGCACACAUGGAGGGACCCAUGGUUCCAGCCACAGAUGUAGCAAAUGAUGGCUUGCUGGGUAUCAAUGGGAGGAGAGGCCCUUGGUCCCAUGAAGGCUCGAUGCCCCAAUAUAGGGAAAUGUCACGGUGGGGAGGCAGGAGUGAGUGGGUGGGUAGGGACACACCCUCAUAGAA
rnacentral:lncRNA from 1 species